rnacentral:rRNA from 1 species
UACGGGGGGGGCAAGCGUUGUUCGGAAUUACUGGGCGUAAAGCGCACGUAGGCGGAUUGUUAAGUCAGGGGGGAAAUCCUGGAGCUCAACUCCAGAACUGCCUUUGAUACUGGCGAUCUCGAGUCCGGGAGAGGUGAGUGGAACUGCGAGUGUAGAGGUGAAAUUCGUAGAUAUUCGCAAGAACACCAGUGGCGAAGGCGGCUCACUGGCCCGGUACUGACGCUGAGGUGCGAAAGCGUGGGGAGCGAACAGG